rnacentral:rRNA from 1 species
GAUGAACGCUGGCGGCGUGCCUAAUACAUGCAAGUAGAACGCUGAAGGAAGGAGCUUGCUCUUUCCGGAUGAGUUGCGCACGGGUGAGUAACGCGUAGGUAACCUGCCUGGUAGCGGGGGAUAACUAUUGGAAACGAUAGCUAAUACCGCAUAACAGUAGAUGUUGCAUGAUAUCUACUUAAAAGGUGCAAUUGCACCACUACCAGAUGGACCUGCGUUGUAUUAGCUAGUUGGUGAGGUAACGGCUCACCAAGGCGACGAUACAUAGCCGACCUGAGAGGGUGAUCGGCCACACUGGGACUGGGACACGGCCCAGACUCCUACGGGAGGCAGCAGUAGGGAAUCUUCGGCAAUGGACGGAAGUCUGACCGUGCAACGCCGCGUGAGUGAAGAAGGUUGUCGGAUCGUAAAGCUCUGUUGUAAGAGAAGAACGAGUGUGAGAGUGGAAAGUUCACACUGUGACGGUAUCUUACCAGAAAGGGACGGCUAACUACGUG